UACGGAGGGGGCUAGCGUUGUUCGGAAUUACUGGGCGUAAAGCGCACGUAGGCGGCUUUGUAAGUUAGAGGUGAAAGCCCAGGGCUCAACCCUGGAAUUGCCUUUAAGACUGCAUCGCUAGAAUUGUGGAGAGGUAAGUGGAAUUCCGAGUGUAGAGGUGAAAUUCGUAGAUAUUCGGAAGAACACCAGUGGCGAAGGCGACUUACUGGACACAUAUUGACGCUGAGGUGCGAAAGCGUGGGGAGCAAACAGGAUAGAUACCCCGGU
rnacentral:rRNA from 1 species